ACUGCCCAGUUGGUAAUACGUCUUCAUUUCUGAACCAGGUCGACAUCAGCAAGUGUUAUUUCUCUUGGAUGGAUCCAAGGGGGCAGUGGGUGGCAGGCGAGGUUGACGUCAGAGCCCCUUCUGCUGGCGUGUUGCCUCUGGGGACAGACUGAGCAGCCUGAAGCUGCAGAUCACUUGACAAAAGCAUGUGACUGCAGGGGGACCUGCAGUGGGGAAGGAGUUAGGACAAGGCCCAUCAGAAUGGCAGUCAAUCGCCUGAUGAAAGAAGAUGUGGAUAGGAAGGUCGGAAAGGCAUAGAGUCACAGACUUCUUACAUUUAGUUCUUAUGUUAUUUCUG